GCUGAGAAGAAGGAGUCAGGGCUGUGAGGAGCUGCUUGUGAAAAUCACUGAGAAGGGUCUGGAGGUCAUGUUACCAGUGUGUUUUUAAGCUUCACACAAUUACCCUCAACCCUGUAAAGCAUUGCACAGCAGGACAAUAUUUAUAACUUGUCAAAAGGAAAGCCUCUGUCUUCUGCAGCUCUACAGGAGUCCAAGUAUAAUGCAGUGGUUAUGAAGAGUAUGAAGGUGGAUAGAAGAUGUUAGUGAUUUCGUCUUAGCAGACCAACAACUCUGGAUCUAUAUCACCUGUCAUUUGAUUAAUUAUGUACCUAGGGCAGCCAAUCACAGAAAUUUUCCACCUUUUCCCCUUGG